rnacentral:rRNA from 1 species
UACGUAGGUGACAAGCGUUAUCCGGAUUUAUUGGGCGUAAAGCGCACGCAGGCGGCUGAUUAAGUCUGACGUGAAAUCUCUCGGCUUAACCGGGAGCGGUCGUUGGAAACUAAUUGGCUUGAGGCGAUGAGAGGGGUGUGGAAUUCCCGGUGUAGUGGUGGAAUGCGUAGAUAUCAGGAGGAACACCAAUGGCGUAGGCAGCACUCUGGGACGUGACUGACGCUGAGACGCGAAAGCGUGGGGAGCAAACAGG